rnacentral:rRNA from 1 species
AUUGAACGCUGGCGGCAUGCCUUACACAUGCAAGUCGAACGGUAAGGCCCUUCGGGGUACACGAGUGGCGAACGGGUGAGUAACACGUGGGUGAUCUGCCCUGCACUUCGGGAUAAGCCUGGGAAACUGGGUCUAAUACCGGAUAGGACCACUGCCUGCAUGGGUGGUGGUGGAAAGCUUUUGCGGUGUGGGAUGGGCCCGCGGCCUAUCAGCUUGUUGGUGGGGUGAUGGCCUACCAAGGCGACGACGGGUAGCCGGCCUGAGCGGGUGACCGGCCACACUGGGACUGAGAUACGGCCCAGACUCCUACGGGAGGCAGCAGUGGGGAAUAUUGCACAAUGGGCGCAAGCCCGAUGCAGCGACGCCGCGUGAGGGAUGACGGCCUUCGGGUUGUAAACCUCUUUCAGCGCCGACGAAGCGCAAGUGACGGUAGGUGCAGAAGAAGGACCGGCCAACUACGUGCCAGCCGCCGCCGUAA